CCUGGCCCUCCAGAGAGCCUUGCCCAAGCCCCAAACAAGAUGUAAUUGAAGCUCCCACAUUGCAUUUGGCUGUUAUGUUUUCUCAGUCUCCUCCAGUCUGGGACUGGCCCUCAGUCUCUUUUCCUUCAUCUCUUAUGACCUUAACACUGUUGAAGGAUACUGUUCUUCAGUUUGAGUUUGUUUGAUGUCUCUUCAUGAUUAAAUGAAAGAGAGAGCGAGAGCAUGCAGAAGCAGGGAGGAACAGCUGGAAGAGUGAGAAGCAGGCUCCCCACUGAGCAAGAAGCCCAAUACAGGAUUCAAUCCCAGGAAGCUGAGAUCACUACCUGAGCCUUAGUCAGAUGCUUAACUGACUAAGCCACCCAGGCAUCCCUGAGGGCUUCUUAAUUCACAUGUCUGGUGGUUGAUACUGGCUAUUAGCUGUUUUACUGAGGCUGUUGGCCAGAACACCUAUGCGUGAUCUUUCCAUGUGUCCAUGCUUCCACCAUGUGGCUGAAUUCCAAGAGUGAAAAUUUUCAGAAAAAUAGUAAUUCAGAAAGAAUAUGUAUUGCCUUUCAUGACUUAGCCUCAAAUGUCAUGAAUGUUACUUCUGCUGCUGUUUUUUCAUUGGGAUAGUGACGUAAGCUCUAAGUUCAAGUGACAGAAAAAUAGAUUCCAUAGAUGGGACAAUGACAAGUUUCUGGAAGGGCAUGUGAGACCAAAAAAUAUCCCACUAGUUUUGGAAAAUACAGUCUGCCUCCAAAGAGUUAAAAUGAUUUACACACACACCAAAAAAAUAAAUAUGCAACACAUGUCAGUUCCUGUCUCAAGGAAAAUGCACAUUUCUCUUCUAUCUUCACUCAAAAUAUGGCCUUAACAUGGCAUAUAUUCAUGAUUUUUAAAGAUAACUUGGAUUGAAUGUAAAAUCUGUUUAGUAUGCAUCUGUGUACAUAUAUCUUUUAAUAUGGAGAGAACCCAUUAAAGUCUUAAAAUAUCAAUGACCAGGAAAAACAUGAAUUAAAACUAUUACUACAGUCUGCAUCAUAGAGUACACUAUUUAAAAAAUAUAUUUUUUUGGAAAAGGAACCUAUCUCCUACAGUACUGAAAGCCAAUUUUACAGAUGUUUCCUAUGGAGAAAUUAGCAGAAGGAGAAAGGAGUUCUGGUAAAACAAAAGUUAAAUUAUAUAUCAUUUUAUGGUCAAUCAAUUUGCACUGUAUCUUCUUAAGCAAACACAUAUUGUCUCUUUGUUUUAUCUUGCCCCUAAAUAAGCUCUUGCAACUGAAAACAAAAUCAAUUUGCAGUAAUUCAGCAUUUCUAUUUCAUUAGAGUGACAUGAAAGAAGGUAUAUUAUGAUAGUUUCAAAAGCCACUGGAGACUGGGUCAACCUGCUCCUAGAGUUGUUUUUUUCUCAAAUUUCAAUAAACAAGAUUCAGGAAUCUA